UGAAGAUGUGCCUGCUUCCACUUUGCCUUCUGCCAUGAUUGGCCAAACAGCUGGGAAGAGGCAGAACCAGGUUCAAGAGCAGGCCAGCCUCGGUCGGCAACUGGGGGUCUCAGCAGGUUGCCUACCUCAUGCUCUAGGGCCCCGCCGUUUCCUGGAACCUUGCCUUGAACAGAAAUGAGAACAAGGAUGUGAAGAGAUAAUCUGAAACAACAGUAUAUGACUCAAACUCUCCUCUUCUCCUCCUCCCAUAAGGCAAUGCAGAAAAGAAAAAACAUAAGGAUAAACAUAUUGAGAUUUGCUCUUGCUCCAGCACAAUUCCCUGAAAGGCUUCUUCUAAGCCUGGUAUCCUGGGAGUGGCAGUGUUUUCAGCGUGGCAGACAGAGCAGUCAGGAAGCUGGGAGCCCAAACAGCGUGAGACAAAGCCACAAAACAGAGGCCGCGCAUCAGUCGAAAGUGCUCCCGGUGCCUGUGGUCCAUAGAGUGGAGUGAGUCUCUAAGCAAAUCUGGAGGGACUCUGGGAGCUGAAGAUUCAGAAUAUCUCCACUUAUUCUUGCCAUAGCCUUUGCUGCUCAACUGUUGGGUGCCAUGAUGGGACAGGAAUCAGAUGGGCAUAGGGCAUCUGGUCCAUGAUCAUCCUUUGUUCGUGCUGAUCUCUGAUGAAAUAUCUGAAGAAGAAGGAGAACACCAUGUGAAGCUGGAGGCAGAGAUUGGAGUGACACGCCUACAAACUGAGGGGCACCAAAGACCACCAGCAACCACCAGAAGCUGGAAGAGGCAUGGCACAGAUGACCACAAGAGCCUCCAGAAGGAACCAACCAUGCUGACGCCUUGAUUUUGGACUUCCAGCCUCUCAAAUUGUGAGCAAAUAAAUUUUUGUUGUUUUAAGCUACCCAGUUGUGGUACACUGUUAUGGUAGCCUGAUAUAGUUUGGCUGUGUCCCCAUGCAAAUCUCAUCUUGAAUUGUAGCUCCCAUAAUUCCCACAUGUUAUGAGAGGGAUCCGGUGGGAGGUAAUUGAAGCAUGGAGAAAGGUCUUUCCCAUGCUGUUCUCAUGAUAGCGAACACAUCUCAUGAGAUCUGAUGGUUUUAUAAAUGGGAGUUUCCCUGUACAUGCUCCCUUUGCCUGCCACCAUGUGAGACGUGACUUUGUUCCUCCUUCACCUUCUGCCAUGAUUGUGAGCCCUCCUCAGCCAUGUAGAACUGUGAUUCCAUUAAACCUCUUUCCUUUAUAAAUU
rnacentral:lncRNA from 10 species